UACAGAGGGUGCGAGCGUUGUUCGGAAUUAUUGGGCGUAAAGCGCUUGUAGGCGGCUUGUUAAGUUCCGUGUGAAAUCCCCAGGCUUAACCUGGGAAGUGCGCGGAAAACUGGCGAGCUUGAGUGCCGGAGAGGGUCGCGGAAUUCCCGGUGUAGAGGUGAAAUUCGUAGAUAUCGGGAGGAACACCAGUGGCGAAGGCGGCGACCUGGACGGACACUGACGCUGAGACGACGAAAGCGUGGGGAGCAAACAGG
rnacentral:rRNA from 1 species